rnacentral:sRNA from 1 species
UCGUCGACCUGCUGCGGACAAAUGAAAUGAAUGUGCGCGUCGAUGCCGCCGGCGGUCAGUAUCUGCCCUUCCCCUGCAAUGAUCUCGGUGCCGGGCCCGAUGAUGAUGUCGACACCUUCUUGCACGUCGGGAUUACCGGCCUUCCCGAUCGCGGCGAUACGGCCAUUUUUGAUGCCGACGUCGGCCUUGACGAUGCCCCAAUGAUCGACGAUCAAUGCAUUCGUAAUCACCAGAUCCAUCGCGGUUUGCGAGCCGGCCUGACUCUGUCCCAUGCCGUCGCGA